UACGAAGGGGGCUAGCGUUGUUCGGAAUUACUGGGCGUAAAGCGCGCGCAGGCGGUCUUCCAAGUCAGUGGUGAAAGCCCGGAGCUCAACUCCGGAACUGCCAUUGAAACUGUUAGACUUGAGGACGAGAGAGGUGAGUGGAAAUUCCCAGUGUAGAGGUGAAAUUCGUAGAUAUUGGGAAGAACACCGGUGGCGAAGGCGGCUCACUGGCUCGUAUCUGACGCUCAGGCGCGACAGCGUGGGGAUCGAAACAGG
rnacentral:rRNA from 1 species